GUCCGUUUCGAAAAUAAAUGUACAAGUUAAUCAAUGUUCCACUAAUUAAACAGAGUUCUGUUUAUCUGUCUUUGACUUGUCUCUUUGUUUUGUAUUUCAUAUCGGAGAUUUCAGAUUUCUUGAAGAAUAUUUUACCGUUAAAAUAGUUAUUGACUAUAAAUGAGAGAAGGACCUUUGUCAACUUUCCCGCGUGCGGGUUGAUUUAAGCAGAAUUUCUACUCUUUCUUCGAAAGUGACGGACUUCGCGCUGUUGCGCGUGAACCCGCAUUGAAAAUCACAAUAUCUCGUUCUUAGGUUGGUAGCGCAACAACGGACGGCUAACUCGAAUGGUCGGUCGGUGCAGCCGUGAGUACAGCUGCACUCGACGCAGACUGUCUAGCGUAGCGGCGAGGACCGGAGGCCAGGUAGUUAGACGCAUUAGGUGCCGGGCCUGCUCCAAAUGCAGUCAUGCGUUAUCGCGCACACGCUACUUUCCUUUCGAACCUUUUGCUUUCUUCGCGAUUUGCCACGAGGCGACAGGUUUGUUGAGUUCGGGCCCACGCACACAUAUACAUCCAGGAUCGACUACGAAGACUUUCGCACCCCGUGCGAAUACCCAAAAAUGCCUGUCUUUUCUGUUAUAGAGGAUCUUAACGUGAGACGCGCGGUCACAGGGUUAUGUAGCAGUCAAAGAAUUGCGACGAACAAUGACUCCCUCGACAGUUUUGCCAAGGAAAGAAUCUUCUCUUUUUAGCAACUUUGUUGCAUUGUCUUCAGCUCCCUCCGCAGGAUAAAAUGACUCUGUGACACAUUGUUUCUACUUUUCCAAGCAUCCUCUUUGACUAUUUUCUGUCCUAAAUUUCUCUUUUUCGAUUUCACACAAAUGAUAUCAUCCAAGGUUGCAUUCCGCGUUGCGUUCUUUUUGAGGAAAAUUUUACUCAAUACUUAUAGUUUAUGUUACAUAUACUAUAAAGUAUCGAGUAAAAUUUCCUCAAAAAGGACGUUUUGGAACGCAACGCAAACAGAAUUUACAAGUUAAAAUUCAAUCGCUCAAAAUGGCAGUUUUUAACAGACUCUUAAAAAGAUAAAUCGAAAAAAGGGAGGUUUGAACAAGAGAUUGGAAUCAUUCAAACACAAAUAUAAGUAGAAUAUUAUAUUGGUUUAAACAGCGUCAUAGUUAAAUUGCUCAAUUUCUUUCCGAGAUCAAUCGCCUUUUUCUUUUGGUACGUAACCCGAUUUAACAAAACUUGAUAUUAUCAUCAUUUACCAAAAUUAUUGUAGAUAAUAAGAAAUAUUUCUUCCUUUUUAUCGUCCAAGUUUCCACGAUUUAAAUUUAACAGGACGAACUUGAGAUCCAAGCUACACAGCUGCGGUUCAACGAGUUAUGACGCAUUCAACGUCGUUGCACUAUGACGUCCUCGAUUUGAAACAGUCAUGCAUGCCUCUGCGGCGACGUUCGCCGUAAACACUAUCGCACAUGAUAUCAUGCUCAAUUAAUGCGCGCUGCCAUAGCAGGAAUUAAUGGGUUUCCGAUCGUAAGGGUUCGUGGCAUAACUCGUUCACUGACUCAUUUGUCCCUGAUUGUGUUAAAAUCGAUAUGAUAUAUAGCACCUUCGCUUAUUUGGAAAGCGUCAUAUUCGCAAGACCUUGUUCUUAAUAUCGCUAUCGGACGCCACGCUUAAUCUGUAUAAAUAUACGCGUAUCGCGUUGUUUAACUCGUGCCUCUUGUAUAAUAUCCACGUGAUAUAGAUCUAUGCAAUAGUAAUUUUUAGCUUUCUUACACUGUUUUACUCGAUGAAGAACUAUUUGUGAAAAGAAAAAACUGAAAAAACAGCCAGCAACAUUAAUUUCAUAAAUAAAUAUUGUGCUGGUUAUUGCUUAAACGUAACGUAGCGUCAUUUCUUUCUUACAGCAAUCCAGAUGAAUAACCAAUGUUAAAUCAAGAUCGUUGUAAAGAUUACUACGGAUUCAUUGUCUGACAAGGAAAUUGAAAUUAAUUAUCGUUAAAAUUAAAAUCAAUCAUUUAAAAUGGGAAAUUUUAAGUUCGCUACCUCUCUAUUAAUAAUAAUAAUAUGAUAAACUAUUAACUCCAUCAUAUUGAGAGCUUGCUACAGAGCACUGAUGAAUAUGUUGCUAACAUCACUACUGAAACGUGGCAUCGUUUCAGCCGGCGCGUCCCCGAAUUCUAAUUCUAACAGCGUCACGACGUCACCGGACGUCAAAUUUUCGAAACAAUACACGGCCAGCGCACGUGGUUGUAUUUAUGGGAUAUACAUAAGGCUAUUUUCGCCGAACGGCAGAAUGGCCGUGAAUCCCGAGACGCCAUGAACCAGCCGAGCGCCGACAACUUCCUGGAAUGUUCCACGCUUUCUACCUGCGCGUCAAAGCGACGAGCCAAAGCGCGCUUAACACCUGGCAAACGGCAAACGUAUUGACUGGUACGUCAUCGAUGAGCAAUGUAGCGCAUAAACGACAUUGAUGAUGCAUACCGAGGUGUUUCUUCUUCUAUCAUUUUUACUUUUCAUUACCUUCAUAUAACGUUCUUUUUAAUUGAUCACUGACUUGACAUCUUGUCGUUAUGACCAUUGCUCCAGCAUUGUUGGUUACAAACAGUAUACUGCUGUUCCGAUGUUGAUUGCAUCGACGAUUUGAUACGUCGUCGUAAGCGUGCUUGCACCCGGUGGUUGUCAUGCGAGUAUCAAAGCGACUUGAUCCUGCGCCAAAUGCAACGACGAAGUGACGGAUCGACGUAAAGGCGGUCUGUGAACUGCCCCGCAGGACGAAAUUUUUACUUGAUGAUUCUUUGAAGAUAUAUAUCGUCAAGAGAUACGAAUUUACUUAUAUUUUAAAAUAACUAUAUGACAAUGUACAAGCAUAAUAAAAUAUUUCGAAGAAAAUUUCAACAAAAA